UGUUGGCUGAUUCAUUCGCCUUGUAAUGCUUAAUUGAAAACUGGUAAAUGGAAAGUUUUCGAUCCGACGUAGACUUGCAUCAGCGGAGAUGCGGACAAAAUAGAAAAAAAAAAGUUUAAACAGCAGUUGUAGUGGAAGCGAAACGAAAAUGGGAGGGGGGUUGAGGGCGGCGUUGCUGUAACUAAUUGGGCAAACUAUAUAUAGCGACAGGAAGGAACUGGCGGCCUGGAAUUCAUUGUGAACUCGUCGGACGCGUUGAUUGGUCUUGCGUCUUUUUCUCUUUUUGUUCGGCAGUACAAGACGAUUAUAUCGUAUACAUGUGUGGGGAGGGAAAAUAGCUAAUCGCUUGCCACGCUAUUUUGUACGGAAAGAAAGAAAAAUGGGCGACGAUCGAUCGACAUGCAUUGCGGGUUUGUGGCAAAAGAAAAGAAAAAAAGAAAACAAAAAAAUUUCCCUUUUUUUUCCUGAUUUUUCUCUUUCACGAAUAGCGGGGAUUUACCGGUACUACCGUAAGCCAGCCGGCGUGGAGGAAAUAAAAAGGGAAAACACACCCCGACAGCAUCGCUUCGUUGAGCCGUUGCAGAUCGAUGGCUGCCAAUUCAGCAGGAGGAGUUCCCACUACGAAAAGAAAAGAGCUUCGCAGAUUGGCCAUGUGCUUUGCGGGAUGGAGUGUGUGUGAGCUGGAUGUAGCAAAGGCGAGGCAAUGAAUGGGCACAGUGGGUGAAUGAUGUUAUAUUGUUCCAAUUCGAUGAUUUGGCGCCAGGGAAGGACGGCCACAGGAACUAGGAGCUUUUAUCCUCUCCCGUUUUGCUGGCCUUCCAAAUAAUAAACGAUGCUUCGUA